UGUUUUUUGUUUGUGUGUUUGUUUUUUAGAAGUCAAGUCUUUCUUUUCUGAAAAUGUUUUAUUACCGUCUUUAAGGAAUAUCAAAUUCACCAGAGCACCGACAUGACCGAUCCCCAAAGUGCAGUGAAUUGGAGGCAAGGUGAUGAAAAAGAAAAGAGUUGCAUUUGAAUGAGAGAUCAAUCACAGAGACUGAAAGCGACAGCCCUACCACAUUUGUUUGUGGACUAUGGAGAUAGGCAGAAAGGAUAAGCAAUUGACAAGGAGGUAAGGAAAUCCGUAUUUGGGUUUCAUUCAACUGUCUUGCAAUUGGAGUUGUAAACAAAUGUGGAAUUUAA